UUUUAGCGGUAGAUUCGUUUU
rnacentral:piRNA from 1 species